AGUGAACGCUGGCGGUAGGCCUAACACAUGCAAGUCGAACGGCAGCACAGGAGAGCUUGCUCUCUGGGUGGCGAGUGGCGGACGGGUGAGGAAUACAUCGGAAUCUACUUUUUCGUGGGGGAUAACAUAGGGAAACUUACGCUAAUACCGCAUACGACCUACGGGUGAAAGCAGGGGACCUUCGGGCCUUGCGCGAUUGAAUGAGCCGAUGUCGGAUUAGCUAGUUGGCGGGGUAAAGGCCCACCAAGGCGACGAUCCGUAGCUGGUCUGAGGGGGUGAUCAGCCACACUGGAACUGAGACACGGUCCAGACUCCUACGGGAGGCAGCAGUGGGGAAUAUUGGACAAUGGGCGCAAGCCUGAUCCAGCCAUACCGCGUGGGUGAAGAAGGCCUUCGGGUUGUAAAGCCCUUUUGUUGGGAAAGAAAUCCAGCUGGCUAAUACCCGGUUGGGAUGACGGUACCCAAAGAAUAAGCACCGGCUAACUUCGUGCCAGCCGCCGCCGUAA
rnacentral:rRNA from 1 species